rnacentral:rRNA from 1 species
UACGUAGGCAGCAAGCGUUGUUCGGAAUUACUGGGCGUAAAGAGUGUGUAGGCGGUGCUCUAAGUCUGGUGUGAAAUCUCCCGGCUUAACUGGGAGGGUGCGCUAGAAACUGGAGUGCUAGAGGAUGGGAGAGGUAAGCGGAAUUCCUGGUGUAGCGGUGAAAUGCGUAGAUAUCAGGAGGAACACCUGUGGUGUAGACAGCUUACUGGACCAUUUCUGACGCUGAGACACGAAAGCGUGGGUAGCAAACAGG